rnacentral:rRNA from 1 species
GACAGGUGCUGCAUGGCUGUCGUCAGCUCGUGUUGUGAAAUGUUGGGUUAAGUCUCGCAACGAGCGCAACCCCUAUCUUUAGUUGCCAGCAUUAAGUUGGGCACUCUAGAGAGACUGCCCGGGUUAACCGGGAGGAAGGUGGGGAUGACGUCAAGUCCUCAUGGCCCUUAUGCCUAGGGCUACACACGUAAUACAAUGGUACAUACAAUGGGACGCGACCCUGCGAAGGUGAGCAAAUCUCAAAAAGUGUAUCUCAGUCCGGAUUGGAGUCUGCAACUCGACUCCAUGAAGUUGGAAUCGCUAGUA